AACGAACGCUGGCGGCAGGCCUAACACAUGCAAGUCGAGCGCCCUUUCGGGGGAGCGGCGGACGGGUGAGUAACGCGUGGGAAUAUGCCCUUCUCUACGGAAUAGCCUCGGGAAACUGAGAGUAAUACCGUAUACGCCCUGUGGGGGAAAGAUUUAUCGGGGAAGGAUUAGCCCGCUUUGGAUUAGGUAGUUGGUAGGGUAAUGGCCUACCAAGCCGACGAUCCAUAGCUGGUUUGAGAGGAUGAUCAGCCACACUGGGACUGAGACACGGCCCAGACUCCUACGGGAGGCAGGAGUGGGGAAUCUUAGACAAUGGGGGCAAACCUGAUCUAGCCAUGCCGCGUGAGUGAUGAAGGCCUUAGGGUUGUAAAGCUCUUUCAGCUGGGAAGAUAAUGACGGUAACAGCAGAAGAAGCCCCGGCUAACUCCGUG
rnacentral:rRNA from 1 species